UUUGGCUUUUUCAUAGCUUAUAGAGUCUGUCUCUCUCAUCUUUGGAUCCUUUAAAAGCUGACUGGCAGAUUUUUUACAAAGUUAUGUGUUUUUGUUGUCAUUUGUUUAAGGAAAUCUCCGUGCCCAACGUGGGGCUUGAGCCCAUGACCCCAAGAUCAAGAGUCAUGUGCUCUACCGACUGAGAUAGCCAGGUGCCCCUCUUUUACAAAGUUUUGCCCAAUCACUGAUCUAAAUAUUACAGAAGCUUUCUGGAAGGUUUCUGAAAUUUCUAGGGUCUUUGACGGUACUAGCCAUUAGGUUGAGAAUAAUUACAAAUUUAUUUCUUCAAUUAGUUCAUAAGUAGUGAUUAAUAGUAGGGUCUCUGAAAGUAGAUUUGCCUGGGUUUAAAUCCUGGGUCUCUAUGACCAUGGGCAUGCUGAUUUAUUUGUUUGUGCCUCAGUUUCCCCACCUGUAAAUGGGGAUAAUAAUGUAACUCUCACAUAUGGUUGUUUUGGUGAUUAAAUUAGCUAAUAUAUGGAAAGCACUGAGACUCGUGACAGGCACAUAGCAUGUACUAUUUAUUGUAUAAAGAAAAUAAAUCCAGACAAGCUCCCUAAGGAUAGGGACCAGUAUCUCAUUUAUCUCUGUAUCUCUAGAGACUAGUACUGUGCCUGGAAUAUAUUUGGGGCCAAUAUAUUGGCUAAGAAGACAAAUGAGUUUCCAUGGAGUUCUGGACUGGUGCAGGCAGGCCAAUAAUCAAUGCUGGGGUUUCUAAUGCUACCAUAUUUGAAAUAUUAUUUUAAAAAAUAUCUUGACUAUGGAAAGAGGUUGCGUAUAUUCAACCUCAGGCCAUCAUCAUGGUGGUUAUUUUGCUGCUCAUUUUUCUGUAAAUAAUCAUCAGUGUCACCUGUGUCUUUCCUGAUGCUAAUCCAUUGUCUCUGUUUAGCCUGGAAAGCCAGAAGGCCAGGAGAGUCAACAUGUAAGUCCAGUCUCAACUCAGGGAAAAAAAAAAAAAAAAAAAAAAGGAAAAGAAAGGAUUCUGCUUAAUUUGCUUGCACCAAGCUGAGAGGGGACACUGUAUUUUUAGCACGAAAAGAAGCUUAACCGGGCGCCUGGCUUAACCAAAGAACGCUAACAUUCCUGAGACAGAUCUUCACAUUGUUUAAACUUUUGCAGAUUCCCCAGCAUUGGGCGGACUCAUUCAAAAAUAUGUGCUCAAAAAAAUGAAAUGUCUUAAACAUCAUCCUCGGCACAGAAGCUCCUGCAUUUCCCUACCUUUCCAUUACCACCCAAACCUAAGCGCUUACAUCAGGGUAGGUCUUGAUUUAAGCACAUAGCAACAGGAUGCUCCCCUGGGUUCGGCUUCUGUGUAUUCAAUCUGGUUCUUGGUGGAUUGAAUAUUUAAAUCAUUCAGAGAUCUCUUUUCCACGUAAUUCCUUUUGAACUUCCGUCCAUGCUAAUUUUAAACACGUUCGGUAUUUCCCUCCUUCUAUACGAAUACAGUUGAGCUCAAAGAAGGAAAUUCACCAGUGUUUUCUCCUUUGUAUGUGUUCAAUAGGUACCCUUGAAGCAAUUACCUACUGGGAGACGUGGGAGGAACCCACUCUGUGGGAGCAGGGGCCACCGGUAAUGUGAUACGUGGUUGUUGUGUGUGUAAAGGGCUAAUACUUUUGACAGCCACCAUCCUAAAGGGGUGUAGCAAGUCAUUUGAAAUUUGUACACAGACUGCCCCAUCCAUUACGCAUCGCCCAUAUCAUACCCAUAAUCUCCCAAGGCAGAUAUGCUAUUACACUCAGCGGGCCAAGGUCUGCCUCGGCUUAUAUACACACAACUCCCACUGACUCUGUGUCACCAAGCCACUUCAAUGGGACAUCUCAGUGGCAUAAAUUUAGCCCGAGACUGUCACAACCACAGCGGGCGCAGCUAAACAGAGAGCCCUGGCUGUGUGUUAAAAAGGCUGAGGAAAGAACAAAAAAGCUGCCAGUUUUCAUAAGAAAUCUUACCCCUAGAGCAUUAAGAACUGUAGCCUGACACCCGCCACACUAUCCUCAUCCCACAACCUGCUGAUCCCAGGCUGGGACUUGGAAGAAGC